rnacentral:rRNA from 1 species
ACUCCUACGGGAGGCAGCAGUGGGGAAUAUUGGACAAUGGGCGCAAGCCUGAUCCAGCCAUGCCGCGUGAGUGAUGAAGGCCCUAGGGUUGUAAAGCUCUUUCACCGGUGAAGAUAAUGACGGUAACCGGAGAAGAAGCCCCGGCUAACUUCGUGCCAGCAGCCGCGGUAAUACGAAGGGGCUAGCGUUGUUCGGAUUUACUGGGCGUAAAGCGCACGUAGGCGGACUUUUAAGUCAGGGGUGAAAUCCCGGGGCUCAACCCCGGAACUGCCUUUGAUACUGGAAGUCUUGAGUAUGGUAGAGGUGAGUGGAAUUCCGAGUGUAGAGGUGAAAUUCGUAGAUAUUCGGAGGAACACCAGUGGCGAAGGCGGCUCACUGGACCAUUACUGACGCUGAGGUGCGAAAGCGUGGGAGCAAACAGGAUUAGAUACCCUGGUAGACUGUCA